ensembl:rRNA 5S_rRNA 5S ribosomal RNA
GCCUUUAUGGCCACAUCACCCUGAACGCACGGGAUCUCAACUGAUCUUGGAAGCUAAGCAGAGUCGGGCCUGGCUAGUACUUGGGAUGCGAGACCACCUGGGAAUACUGGGUGCUGAAGGCU